UACGAAGGUGGCAAGCGUUGUUCGGAUUUACUGGGCGUAAAGGGAGCGUAGGUGGUUAGGUAAGCCCUCCGGGAAAUCUUCAGGCUUAACCUGAAAAGGUCGGGGGGGACUGCCUAACUAGAGGGCGGGAGAGGAGCGCGGAAUUCCCGGUGUAGCGGUGAAAUGCGUAGAGAUCGGGAGGAAGGCCGGUGGCGAAGGCGGCGCUCUGGAACGUUUCUGACACUGAGGCUCGAAAGCGUGGGGAGCAAACAGG
rnacentral:rRNA from 1 species